CCUUUGAUUACCACUGCUUUCAAAGGCUGAGAAGUGAGCUUGAUUAGCAAAGUCAACAAAGAGAUGCAAAUAGGCUGCAUCAAAAAGGUGCAUUGUGAGUUUUCAAGUCAAUGCCCUGGGUAGCAGCAAGCAACAAUUGUUGAUGUUGGGAAACUUCAGAAGAAGGAAGGGUGUGUUAUUCUGGAGAAACCAGAGGCUCAGACCAGUUCACGGCUUUGUGGACACAAAGCAGCGUCUCUGUCUUCAAGGUUAUUUAACAGUAAACAGCUACUGUCAAAAGGAAAUCAACCCACUUCUGCAUCAGCCCGAUUGAAAUACCAGUACUUCGGUUAUUUCCAGAGCGCAGCAGGAGUUUCAGCAGGGGCAGUGCAGACUGGGAAAGUCCAGAAAGCCCAGUUCCAGGCGGGGAUUAUUUCUACUGGUCUACAGGUCAGGUCAAAACUACAGCUUUGUGCUCAGCCCGUUUGACUUGCCAGAGCUUUAAACAUUCAGCUAAGUUUCCAACAGUGUUAAGCUCAAGCGUGCUCGGUGGCUGGCGGGGCCCCUGGUGUGGCUUUGAAGGCAGAGCGAGGUGAGUCCCUGCUCCUCAUCGGUGGCUGCAUCGCAUCCGAACGGCUGCUAGGAAGUUCCCUUAAGCUCCUGGCUCUUUGGUUGCCACUUGCUCAGGAGCACAGAGGAAUGCAGUAUCCCAGCCAGUCGGUAUUUGUCUAACCUCAUGACACCGAGAGCUGAUUUCCUGGUACAAAUAUUAAAAUUUAGAUUCCCAGAGCCGCGUACUGUCACAGCCAGCGUCCUAAAAACCCUCACCCCGGAUUCAGGGGAUCUGUCACAUGAGCAAAUUACAAUUAGAAUGAAAAGGGCUAAAACAGCAUCGCCUCAGACUUCCUACAGAUUCAUCCUUGCUUCUCACCUGCUGUAGAUCUCUGACCAUCCACUUUGGUACAGGAAGGGAGAGAGAGAUCCCUGCUCUGACUACAUCUAGCGUUUUCUUUUGAACUUUUAUUUUUCCUGCCUGUGGUUGAAUGUCCUUUCACGCACAUAACAUUUCGUUCAUGUACGUAACGCUGACACUGGCCACACUGUUCUAAAUGCUUCAGAACCAAUUUGCUCGUCACGUCGAUUUACUGUAAAAGCUAGUGUCUUUUCUUGAUUAAGUCAUGUAUUUUUGUUUGUUUUCACUGCAAUGCACAAAGAUGUUCAAUGACAUUUGGACUGCUUGGAGCUGCAGCUGAGUCCAGAGGAAGGGGACUUGGAGCUCUAACAAAAGCUGCAAGGGAAGUCCCUCUCUGAUCCCUGUAGCUAUGGUUUACAAACCAGAUGGUAACUUUUGUGUAUGGAUGGCCUUUAACCACACUAAGAUACAUAUUUGCAGAAGACCUAACCUGCUGAGAGAGGCUCUGUAUUUGUAUUUGCAAACAAACUUGUCAAAAAAAAAAGUUGCCUUUUAAAAAGUGUUUCGCUGGAAAUCAUGUCAAAAUCAAGACCAGCCGUUAUAUUAAAAAAAAAAAAAAGUGACCUCUCUCCCCAUUCUCUGUAUCUUAAAAAUCUCAUUAUCUCUGGUACAAAAAGUAACAGUAACUGAGGUAACUGAAUUCUUUCUCACAGUUGUCCUCUUAGCACUACAUCACAUUGUAUCUACAUUAGGGUGCUUAGCUAGGUAGUGCAAUACUCCUGUACAAAGUGCUUGUACCGUGAAGGCACGUGUAGCUGUAAAGCUGGGCUGCAUAAAACUGCAAUAACAAUCAUGCCAAAGAGUGAAACGAGCAGCUUCAGCAACCAUUAAGCUAACCGUGCCUACUCAACGGGCUCUGCCAGCACACCUACACGAGGCAGGAUCGCACCGAUGCUCUCCCCGCACUGACAUGGCUGUUGAUGGAUG
rnacentral:lncRNA from 1 species